AUGAACGCUGGCGGCGUGCUUAACACAUGCAAGUCGAACGAAGCACUUUUACAGAUUUCUUCGGAAUGAAGUUUUGGUGACUGAGUGGCGGACGGGUGAGUAACGCGUGGGUAACCUGCCUCACACAGGGGGAUAACAGUUGGAAACGGCUGCUAAUACCGCAUAAGCGCACAGUACCGCAUGGUACAGUGUGAAAAACUCCGGUGGUGUGAGAUGGACCCGCGUCUGAUUAGCUAGUUGGCAGGGCAACGGCCUACCAAGGCGACGAUCAGUAGCCGACCUGAGAGGGUGACCGGCCACAUUGGGACUGAGACACGGCCCAAACUCCUACGGGAGGCAGCAGUGGGGAAUAUUGCACAAUGGGGGAAACCCUGAUGCAGCGACGCCGCGUGAGCGAAGAAGUAUUUCGGUAUGUAAAGCUCUAUCAGCAGGGAAGAAGAAAUGACGGUACCUGACUAAGAAGCACCGGCUAAAUACGUGCCAGCAGCCGCGGUAAUACGUAUGGUGCAAGCGUUAUCCGGAUUUACUGGGUGUAAAGGGAGCGCAGGCGGAAGGCUAAGUCUGAUGUGAAAGCCCGGGGCUCAACCCCGGUACUGCAUUGGAAACUGGUCAUCUAGAGUGUCGGAGGGGUAAGUGGAAUUCCUAGUGUAGCGGUGAAAUGCGUAGAUAUUAGGAGGAACACCAGUGGCGAAGGCGGCUUACUGGACGAUAACUGACGCUGAGGCUCGAAAGCGUGGGGAGCAAACAGGAUUAGAUACCCUGGUAGUCCACGCAGUAAACGAUGAUCACUAGCUGUUUGCGAUACAGUGUAAGCGGCACAGCGAAAGCGUUAAGUGAUCCACCUGGGGAGUACGCCGGCAACGGUGAAACUCAAAGGAAUUGACGGGGGCCCGCACAAGCGGAGGAACAUGUGGUUUAAUUCGAUGAUACGCGAGGAACCUUACCCGGGCUUGAAUUGCAACUGAAUGAUGUGGAGACAUGUCAGCCGCAAGGCAGUUGUGAAGGUGCUGCAUGGUUGUCGUCAGCUCGUGUCGUGAGAUGUUGGGUUAAGUCCCGCAACGAGCGCAACCCUUAUCCCCAGUAGCCAGCGGUUCGGCCGGGCACUCUGAGGAGACUGCCAGGGAUAACCUGGAGGAAGGUGGGGAUGACGUCAAAUCAUCAUGCCCCUUAUGACUUGGGCUACACACGUGCUACAAUGGCGUAAACAAAGGGAAGCAAGACCGUGAGGUGGAGCAAAUCCCAAAAAUAACGUCUCAGUUCGGACUGUAGUCUGCAACCCGACUACACGAAGCUGGAAUCGCUAGUAAUCGCAGAUCAGAAUGCUGCGGUGAAUACGUUCCCGGGUCUUGUACACACCGCCCGUCACACCAUGGGAGUUGGAAAUGCCCGAAGUCAGUGACCCAACCGCAAGGAGGGAGCUGCCGAAGGCAGGUUCGAUAACUGGGGUG
rnacentral:rRNA from 1 species